rnacentral:lncRNA from 1 species
ACACACACACACACACACACACACACACCUUUUCAGAUAGUAUAUUAUAAACAAGUGUGCAAGAUGCCAAAGCUGGCAAGGCUGGCAUUUCUCCAUGGCCUCCACCUCUAUCUGGGCACUUUUAGGAUUCUGUGAGUAACCACUUUCCUGUCUUCAGCUUCUUUUAUGUAUCCAGGCCUGAGAGACUGACUCAGGAAAACUAGCUUUCCAAGUAGCUGCCAUUCUCCCAGGUCUAAAGAACCAGGAUUUGCAAGGUUUCUAUCGGGUAAUCCCAGACAACCUUCAUAAUUAAAGAAUGUUCUUUCAGGGGAAAUUUUAUUUUCAUUCUUCAAUCUCAUCUGAUGCUUCUCAGCCCAUCACUCAUUCAAAUUCCAUGCAGGGGUUCUCCUGCCUGCCAUUGUACCUUUGUGAGAGCAGAAGAUAUUUCAUAUCACCUAAACCCUUCAUUUCUAGAGAUGCAGAUAGGUUCUGUAAUAUUAAUCUCACCUUUAUGUUUUUUCAAUUUUUAAUAACUCAGAAAUAUGUAUAUCUAAUACCUUCUUCCCCUGUGCAUUUUUGCCAAUUUUAAUAUUUCCUAACACCAUAAACUAUUUUGCUUGGCUGUGUUCUUCUUAGCACUACCACCUGCCAUAUUUGACUGAGAGCAAAUUGCAGUGCCUUCUCUAUUAAUAUGUCUACAUUGUCAUGGUUGUGAAAAUCAUGAUUAUAGAUGGUUAAUAAAUGAGAAUGGAUGACUCUCGCUUAGCUCAUUGAAUUUGGCACAGGGAAGUCAUCACAAGCCAGAACUAAAUGUGCAAGGAUCACGAAAGGGAGAAAUGAAGGGCUCAUAUAGAGGAGAAAAAUAUUGGUUUUUCUGUAGAGUGUACAUAACUGGGGACGGAGGGGGGGGUCGGGGGACACGCGCGCCCACCUUUGUGCCUAUAUGCCCUUUUAAGGGUUUUGAUUGGGUCUAGAAUACCCAGCCCUUGAAAGGGUACACAUACAAAUAGCAUACAUACACAAACACACACACAUACACACACAGUUCCCCCAAACACACACACAGAGCUUCCUCAUACACAUACACUCCCCCACAUACACAGACACCCACAAACUAUAACCUCACUGCACAUAAUUAACGUGAUGGUGGGCUGGCAGCCAUGAAGUUCUAGUGAUCUUCCUCUCUCUGCCUUUCCACCGUGCUGGGGUUUCAGCAGACAUAACUGUGCUGUGCUCUGUAUGUGGAUUUGGACUCAGAUGUCCAUGCUGGUGCUGUAAAUGUUCUCAGCUUCUGAGCCAUCUCCCUAGCCCCAAGACCCAUUUCUUUGAUACCUUCUAUUGAAUGUAGGAAGAGUGCUCUGCAGCCUGUUCAGGAUAUUGUAAUAUGCUGUUACUCAGUGAAGGCUCAUGUUUAAAUAAUCCUCAUGUAUUAGAACUGUUUUGUAAGGAUUGAUAAAGAUUGACCUUGGUGGAGGGGUGGCACACUAGAAGUGCGUUUGGAGAUUCCAAAAGCCCAUGCCAAGUCUAGUAUGUGUGUCUUUGUCUCUCUGUCUGUGUUACUGUCUCUCUCUGUCUCUCUCUGUCUCUCUCUCUCUCUCUGGGUUUGGAUCAAGAUAUAGCAUGCUCCAGUGCCUUGUCACCAUGCUCCAGGUCAUGAUCAUGGAUCAAGCCUCUAAAUCUCUAAGCAAGCCACCAAUUAAAUGCUUCCUUUUAUAGGUUUCCUUGGUUGCAGCAGUAGAACAGUGACCAAGAUAAGUGGCUUGUUAGAUUUUUGAUAUCUAGGAUUACCCAGUUCUCUGUGAUUAUGCUUGCCACGUCAUGCUUUGUGUCUUGGCAUCCUAAUGCCAUCAGAUCUUCCUUUGACUAGCACAAGUAUUGUUUAUCCAGAUGUGGAUGAUUCCGGGCCGUGGAGAUGGUGCAGGGGUUAUCACACUUGCCACACAAGCAUGAAGACUCAAGCUUGGAUCCUCAGAGACUCGUGUAAAUUACAGAUAGAUGCCCAUGGCAGUGCAUCUGUAGUUCCAGCCCUGGGUAGUGGAAACAGGCUCUCCCAGAGCGAGCAGUCUGACAAGACUAGCAAUAUUGGUGAGCUCUGAGUUUGACGGUGAGCACCUACUUUCAUGAAUAAUGUGGAAGAACAAUUGAGGAUGAUUUCUUCAGGCCUCUAAAUGCGUGUGUGACCACAUGCGUGCAUACCCACAUACAUGCAAAAGAAUUUUAAAAAAUGCAUACUAAUACAGACACACAUGAAGAAUG